rnacentral:lncRNA from 1 species
CCUAAUCUUUUCUUCUAAGGUAAGUUAAGGUUUUAUAACAUUAAAGUUGAAAAUUGAAACAUAAUAUUCAUACUGUAGGGUUUUGGUCUUUGUGAUUAUAUGAAAUUGUGAAGCCUCAAUUUAAAACUUUCUUUUUACUGUUCGUUUAUUUUAGGUGUGUUUUGCUGAGUGAAACACUUAACUAAAAUUUCUAUUACCAAAUUAAAAUAAAUGAUUUUUCACAGAAACGUUCAUAGGACGCAGGAUAUAGUCGUACUUGUGGCUAAGAUAUAUUUACAUUAUGAGGAUGCAAAACAGAAUCAGCAAAAGUUCAUGGGGUGAUGUGUGGAAGAAACCAGGCCUGAGCUUCCCAGAGUCCUCUUAGUGGAGUCACACAGGAUGCUCUGAAUUCUCCCAGCAACAAGUUGUGUGAAGUGUUGUUAUGAGGGAAGCUCACCAGAGCUAGGAAUUCGGGAUCUUUCUCAGAAGUCAAUCACGGAGGCACAAAGUACCAGUGUUACUCGGGGCAGUCACUGAAAUCCCAGACGUCCAGAAGGAAAGCAGGUGUUCAGCAUACACGUUUUUUUAGGUGCAGUGAGCUACUCUUACCAUUUAGGGAAAGUUUUUUAUAAGUGUAGGCAGCCAUUUACCAGGCAUGUUCUCAGAUACCAGCCAAGGGCUGGCCUUGCAAGCAGGCCUUGAUAAAGUUAGCAGGCUCAGGCCUGCUGUGUUAACUCUUUGGCAUGAAAUAUAAAUGGCAUAAACAAACCAAUUAAACAACAGCAAUUGUUGGAAUGGCUUUAAAAAAGACUCGGUAUCUACAAGAAAAUCUGUAUAGGUAGUUUUAGAUAAAGGGAUAGGAAAAGAUAUAACAUGGAACAGUAAACAAAAUUCUGAAGUGACUGAAUUAAUAUCAGACAAAGUAGACUUCUGAACAAUGAAAAUUACCAGGGAUAAAGAGAAACAGUAUAUAAUGAAAAAAGAACUGAAUAGCCAAAACUAUUUUAAGUGAGUUCUAUGCCCAGCGUGGGGCUCAAACUGAUGACCCGGAGAUCAAGGGUCACACACCCCACCAACUGAGCCAGCCAGGGGCCUCGCCAAAACUUUUGUUUUUAAUGUUUAUUUAUUUGUUUUGAGAGAGAGAGAGAGAGAGGAUGAGCAGGGGAAAGGCAGGGAGAAUCCCAAGCAGGCUCUGUGCUGUCAGUGCAGAGCCAGACCUGGAGCUCGAUCUCAGGAAUUAUGAGAUAUGACCUCAACUGAAAUUAAGUCAGAUGCUUAACCGACUGAGCAACCCAGGCACCCCCUUGCCAAAACUGUUUUGAAAAAGAAGAAUAAAGUUGGAGGAAUCAUACUACCUAAUUUUAAGGCUUCCUAUAAAGCUAUAAGAAUUAAGAUAGCACGGUAUUAGUGAAGGGAUAGAUUAGUGGAACAAAAUAGAGUCCAGAAAUUGACACAAAUAUGGCCAACUGAUUUUUGACAAAGUUUCAGAAAUUCAGUGGAAAAUGGAUAGUCUUUAAUAAUUCAGUGAAUUAAUUCAGUGAAUUAAUUAAUAAUUAAUUAAUAAUUCAGUGCCGAAUGAUUGGAUAUCCAUAUAUGGAUAAAAUAAACCCUAAUUGAAACUUCGCGCCUUAUAUUUUAACUCAGAUCACAGAUCCAAAUAUAAAACUAUAAAAUGAUUUAUAGUUUAACCUCCUUAGGGACCCUGUUGAAGUAACAGCAAUUAAAAUAUAUUCUAUGAGUACCUCCCUUAUGGUCUGUGUAAUAGUAAUAUCACCGCUAUUGUUUUAUAAAUGAGGAAACAGAAGCAAAUGGAAUAUCAGUAACUUAAGGGUACCCAACUCGUAGAUGUGUUUUGCAGUAAUGUUUUAUGAGGGAUUUGUGUGACAAGUGAAGAUGGUGGAGAAACAGGUAGGAAGCAAUGGCUUAGAAGGCUCUCAAGAAGAGAGUUUCUGGACAUUGGAAACUUGUUGCUUUUCCUGCCGAUUCUGUUAAUAAAUCGUACAACUGCACAUCUGUAUGGUGUUACCUAUUCUGUUCCUUGGCCUUACUGCCUCAAAGGAAACACCAUGAUCCAUGGGCUGGAAAGGUGAAGCGGUUCACCCUCUGCUGGCCUGUGUCAGCUGUCCUGGGAUUGGACCCAGCUAGACUGUCCAGUGCUCAGAUGCACCCCCACCCCGACCCAUGUCCUUGCCUUACCCCGUUUACCAAGUUCUAUUUUGUAUCUCUCCACACCGUUUUGAGUUUGUCCUUAUAAAUGUCAUGCUCUUCUCAGCAAAUACCUUGAUGCUUCUAUAUUUAUUACAAUACGACUAGAAUUUAGUCACAUUUUAUCAGAUUACUGGGGAAUAGGAAAGUUUUCGGGUAAUUAAAUAGUUCAAAUAUCUUGCUAGUAUUUCAUAGUUUUUUUUUUUCUUAGUUUGGUUUUCAAUUUGUUUUUAAAUAUUUUAUCUUCUUUUAAGUAAUCUUUACACCCAACAUGGGGCUCAGACUCACCACCCCAAGAUUAAGAGUCGGACGCCCUACUGACUGAGCCAGCCAGGCACCCCUCAUUUGUUUUUAAAACUUAAUUCUUUUUUAAUAGAUAAUCUACUUUUGUUUCUUGAAUUAUUGCAUUGAUAAAAAUUUGUGGACAAUAUCAGCAAUAGUGAUAGUAAGUAGCCUUGAUUGGUUACCAGAUUUAAUUGGAGUUCUUUUGGUGUUCCAUCAUUAGCUAAAAUGUUGCAGGGGGCUAUCAAAAACCUUUAGUUCUGUUACAAGAUUGUAUUCUCUCCAUGCUCCUUUUCUGAAAUCACCUUCAGAGUCUCAUGGCAUCUUAUCUAUAUUCCAGUCACAAGAUCCCUCUUUUGGUUAUUACUUUUUUUAACGUUUGUUUAUUUUGAGAGAGAGAGAGCGCGCACGAGCAGGGAAGGGGCAGAGAGAGAGGGAGAAUCUGAAACAGGCUCCAGGCUCUGAGCUGUCAGUGCAGAGCCCCAUGUGGGGCUCGAACCCACGAACUGCGAGAUCAUGACCUGAGCUGAAGUCAGAGGCUUAACCGCCUAAGUCGCCCAGGCACCACCCCAGCCCUCUUUUGGUUAUUAAUAAAAUCCAGGAUGGGGCAUUUGGGUGGCUCCGUCAGUGAAGUGUCCAACUCUUGAUCUUGGCUCAGGUCAUGAUUUCGGUUCAUGAGCCUGCGUGGGAUUCUGUCUCUCCCUCUCUCUGCCCCUUCCCUGCUUGUACUCUCUCUCUCUCUCUCAAAAUAAACAUAUAAACUGAAAAAAAAAAAUAAAGUAAAAUCCAGGGAGGUGAUUUACCAUCUCAGUCACUCCUCUGAGACUUUCUGCCUCCUGACAUGAUCAUGAUCUGUGGCAAGGAGACAGGCUACUUGUCUUUCCAAGGCUGCUGUACAAAUUGCCAUAACCCUGGUGGCUUAAGAUGAAAAUUCUCUCACAGGUCUAGAGGCCAGAAGUCUGACAUCAAGCUGUUGGCAGAAUUGGCUCCUUCCGGAAGUUCUGAAAAGGGGCCCAUCCCAGUCCUCUGUCCUUCUGGUGGCUGCUGGCAAUCCUUGGUAUUCCUCGGCUCGUGGCUGCCCUACAGUCUCUGCCACCAUCUUCACAUGGUCUUUUCUCCCUGUCUCUCUGUGUGUAUGUCUUCUGUGUGUCUCUGGAUGUCUGUAAGCUCUUCUGUAUGUCAUAAGCUCUCUGUGUGUCUUCUCCUUUCCUGUGUCUUAUAAGGACACCUGUCGUUGGAUUUAGGGCCCAUCUUAAGCCAGGAUGAUCUCAUCUUGAGAUCCUUUAAUUAUGCCUACAAAAACCCUUAUUCCAAAUGAGGUCACCUUCACAGGUUCCAGGGAUUAGUUAGGACUUGGGCAUAUCUUCUUGGGAGGCCGCUAUUUAACUCACUAUACUACCAACGUGUUUACUAAAUAUAAUAACUUGCCCAAGCCCCGGUUUUGGCCAGGAAUGGUGCCAGGCACUGGAGCUAGAAAGAUGACUAAGGAAUACCUUUUUAAAUAUCACAGAGUAUAAUUCCAAGAAAAGAUAUAAAAACCCUCAGGCCCUUAUAAUGAGAUGUAAGUAUAAUGAAGAGAUAAAUACAAACCCUGUGGAAACACAAAUUAGGAAACUCACAAAGGUACUCCUUAAAAAGAUCGUGUCUGGGGCACCUGGGUGGCUCAGUCGGUUGGGCGUCUGACUUCAGCUCGGGUCAUGAUCUCACAGUCUGUGGGUUCGAGCCCCAUAUCGAGCUCUGUGCUGAUGGCUCAGAGCCUGGAGCCUGCUUCUGAUUCUGUGUCUCCCUCUCUCUCUGCCCCUUCCCUGCUCAUGCUCUGUCUCUCUCUGUCUCAAAAAUAAAUAAAAACAUUAAGAAAAAAAAAAUUUUUAAAAAGAUCGUGUCUGCCUAAAACUGCCCUGAUAUGAAGCCACAUGUAGCUGUUGAGCACUUGAAAUGUGACUACUGUGACGAAAGAAUGGAACUUUUCCUUUUCCUUUCUUUCUUCUUUUUUUAUCUUUUUAAGUAAUGUCCAUCCUGGGUGUGUCACUCCCCAAUGCAAGGCUUGAACUCACAAGCCUGAGACCAAAACCUGAGCUGAGGUCAAAAGUCAGACACUUAACCGACUGAGCCGCCCUGGUGCCCCUCCUUUCAAUUUUAAUGUAAGUUUAAACACAGAUAUUUGAUUCAGUUACUGGAAAGCUUUUAAGUGGGCCUGGAAUAACUUGGUAUAUAAAUAUUUUUUCAAUAGUAAUUUUAUGAAAUCUAAAUAUAGAUCAAGCAUUUCUUUUUUUUUUUUUAAGUUUAUUUAUUUUGAGAGAGAGAGCAGGGGAGAGGCACAGAGAGAGGGAGAGAGAGAGAGAAUCCUAAGCAGGCCUCACACCAGCAGCACUGAGCUCGAAGUGGGGCUUGAACCCACAAAUUGUGAGAUCAUGACCUGAGCCAAAACCAAGAGUGGAACCCUUAAUCAAUGUGCCACCCAGGUGCCCCUCAAGUAUUUCUCGUAUGUAUGUAUGUAUGUAUGUAUGUAUGUAUUUUGCCCCUGAAGUCUUUCUGAUGAAAAUUUAGCAUCUGAAUUCAGAUGCUCUUAAGUAUCAUAUACACAGCAGAUAUUGAAGACCCAGGACCAAAAAAAAGCUUCGUUGUAUUGUGUCCAUUUCCUCAUCUAUGAUACCUGAUUGACAACACCUUCCCUGUGAUGAUCCUACCAGCAAUCUAUCUGGAGGAGAAUUGUCAAAUUUUCAAUUUUACAUCCUUUUAUUAUCAGAGUGUUUACGAUGCCUACUAACGGAUGGUAGGAUGGAAGGGGAGAAGAGUACUAGAGAAGAAUUCCUGGGUCACAGAGUAAAAACUGGACGAGUUCUCUGAGGAGCAGGACAGCAGUGUGCUAAGAACAAGGGACUACGGGGGCACUACGGGAUCUACUUCUCAACCCCACCAUCUGAUCUCUUCUUCCUAUUUCACCUUCCUCCAGCCCCUCUGGCUUCCUUGCUGUCUCCAGAUCACACCAGUCAUGCUUACAAUGAUCUGAUCGCAGAUGCCACACGCUUCACUCCCCUGCCUCCUUCAGAGUUCUACUCAAAUGCGACUUCAUUACAUGGGCUUUCCUCUGAGACCUACGUAAAAGGCUCCGCCACUCACCACACAUCAAUCUUCAUCCCUCUGCUUUAUUUUGCGUCACUACCACACGGCAUAUUUAUUGUUGAUUUUCUGUCCAUUAAAAUGGAAGCUCUAUGAGAGCAGAAACUUUGUCUUGUUUAUUGCUUCAUCCCCAGAAGCUACAGUGUUUGGAUGUAAAUGAGUGAAUAGAUUGGGCCAGGAGCAGAGUAACUGGGUUCCAAUCCUUUCUCACCGUGAUAACAUGGACACGUCUGUCAAUCAUUCUUGCAUUUCAGUUUUCUCAUUCCCAAGUAAGGGAUGAUUACUUUUCUCUCGGCCUAGAUGAGAGGAUUAAUGGAAGAAGGGGCAACUAUUGUUUAUAAGCAUCUUCUACUGGGCAUGCAUUGCUGCAAUUGAUUUGCAUAUAUUGUUUUUAAACCCCAGGUCAGCCUGAUAAAAUGGAUAUUAGUGUUCCCAUUUUACAGAUUAAGAAACUGAGACUCAAAAGAGUUAGUGGCUUGUGAAAUCCAAAGUGAAGAAAGUAUGUGAAAUAAAUAUUAGAAGUAUGACACUGCAAUAAAAAAUGUGAAGUAUCUUGGUAAUUUUUAUAUUGGUUAUAU